rnacentral:rRNA from 1 species
CCUACGGGUGGCAGCAGUGAGGAAUAUUGGUCAAUGGACGAGAGUCUGAACCAGCCAAGUAGCGUGAAGGAUGAAGGCCCUAUGGGUGGUAAACUUCUUUUAUAAAGGAAUAAAACGAGGCACGUGUGCCUUUUUGCAUGGACAUUAUGAAUAAGGAUGGGCUAACUCCGUGCCAGCAGCCGCGGUAAUACGGAGGAACCGAGCGUUAUGCGGUUGUAGUGGGGUUAAAGGGAGCGUAGAGGGGUUGUUAAGUCAGUUGUGACAGUUUGCGGCUCAACCGUAAAAUUGCCUUGGAUACUGGCAGUCUUGAGUACAGUUGAUGUAGGCGGACUUCUUGGUGUAGCGGUUACAUCCUUAGAUAUCACG